GUCCACGCCGUAAACUAUGGGUGCUAGCCGUCAGGAAGCUUGCUUUUUGGUGGCGCAGCUAACGCAUUAAGCACCCCGCCUGGGGAGUACGGUCGCAAGAUUAAAACUCAAAGGAAUUGACGGGGGCCCCGCACAAGCGGUGGAGCAUGUGGUUUAAUUCGAAGCAACGCGCAGAACCUUACCUACCCUUGACAUGUCUAGUAUGGGCACCAGAGAUGGAGUCCUUCAGUUCGGCUGGCUAGAACACAGGUGCUGCAUGGCUGUCGU
rnacentral:rRNA from 1 species